UGGAGGUAAUCAGCCUGUGGCACUGCUGAGGUGUUAUGGAAGCCCAGGUUGCUUUGAUACACCCUUCAGCUUGUCUGUACUAAAUGGUGUCCUCAUC